rnacentral:lncRNA from 13 species
AUGUGCUCUGAAUCAAAAUCUCCAUUUUUCAUUCAGUUGCAAUCUUUUUCCCUUCACCAGAGGCCUUCUACCAUUGGACUAGGUUGGUCUCUUGACGCUGUCCCCUCAUGUUGGCUGUGUGGUUUUCUCUCUCUCGCUCUUUCUCUGUGUGUGUGUAUUUGUAUGAGUGUAUGUGUGUGUCUGCAUGUGAGUAUAUAUACGGGUAUAUAUGUCUCUGUGUGUGUAUGUAUGUGUGUGCCUGUCUUUCUGUGUGUAUGCAUGUUUGUGAGACUAAGUAUAUAUGUGCAUGUAUGUGUUUCUCAGUCUCUGUGUGUCUCUCUGUAUGAGUGUAUGACUUUGUGUGUGUAUAUAUGUGCAUGUAUGUGUGUCUGUCUUUGGCUCUCUGUAUGUCACUGUGUGUGUGUCUUUCUCUGUGUAUGUACGUGUGUGAGUAUAUACCUGUAUGUUUAUGUCUUUCUGUCUCUGUGUGAAUCUCUCUGUGCAUCUCUGUGUGUGCCUCUACAUGUGUCUGUGUGUGUCUCUAUGUGUCUGUAUGUCUCUGUGUGCCUCUGUGUCUGUGUGUCUCUGUGUCUGUGUGUGUCUCUGUGUCUCUGUAUGUCUCUUUGUAUAUGUCUCUGUAUCUCUGAGUGUCUCUGUGUGUCCGUAUGUCUCUGUGUGCCUGCAUGUGUGUCUGUGUGUCUCUUUGUGCAUGUCUCUGUGUCUCUGCAUGUUUGUCUCUGUGUGCCUAUGUGUGUGUCUCUGUGUGUUUCUGUGUGUUUCUCUUGUGUAUCUGUGUCUGUGUGUGUGUGUCUUUGUGCAUGUCUCUGUGUCCGUGUGUGUGUGUGUGUGUGUGUGUGUGUGUGUGUGUCACUGUCUCUCUGCAUGUCUUCCUUUAUGCCCUGCCCUUGGGCAUGCAGUCUUGGGAGUCCCCUUCCCUGGCAGGAGGCCCCACCCUGCCUCUUCCAGAGGCCCCCACUGCCCUCCACCUGCGCCACCCCCUACUCCAGCAGAUGCUGUGUGGUGAGAGGCCUCAUCCAGACCCAGGGUCCUUUCAGACUGCAGGAAAGCUCCAGUCUGCCAACACGGGAAGUGCCUUGCUCCCCACUGCACCCCCUCUAUGCUCUUAGAGGACACAGCCUCCAGAGCCUUCUACGGAGUCUGAGCUCUGGCAGACUUUGCCUGAAAUCCUUCCUUGUUCUCUUUCCUCCAUCGCCACCAGUUUCUCCUGCGAGCACUUUCUUAACAAACCCUCACCUCAAAGGCUACUCCUGGAGAACUUGA